GUUUCUCUCUUCCCCGAGUUUCUCUUUCUUUCGGUUCUUUCUCUCUUGCUCAUGAGAUGGUGAUGGCGAAAAGGAAGAGAACGAUUUGCCUCAUCCGCCGUCUGGGUUAUGAAAUUGGAAGCUGAUUGGCAAAACAACUCGUCUUCCAUACAUCCUGAGCUUCAUAUAAACCGUCGGUUGGUCCAAUCUGCGAAGUCAUCGGUAAAUUGGGGAUUCAUAAUCGGAGAGGUUGGUGAAACGAUGCUCUAUGCUUCUCCUGGCGAGGAGAUUUCAAGCCUUGCAAUGGACAUGUCCUCGGUCGGUGAGAGUAAUGAUUGCACAGAUGCUGAAUCUGAUCAAAUCAAAGUGGAGCUGAGCAGAAAGCAGAUAUUACUGAGGAAGAAGUAAAGAUCACACUAUAAGCAGUAGCAUCUACCAGGAAGUUAUGGCAAGACUGGGAGAAACUAAAGGGAACGUUAUCGUCUUGAUUGAAGAAGGUUCUAUCGGAAUAUCCUGAGGCAAAAAUGACUGAUGAACAACAAAAGGAAGCCCUAGGGGAAAUGGCUUUGACAGUUCGCUGAACUGUUUGUUUGUUUCACUUUCAGUUUCUGUUUCUUUAAUAGGCUUGACUGUUGUUCUUAUUUCAGUUUCUGUUUGUGUUUUUAAUGGCUUGAAUGUUGUUUUUAUUUCAGUUUCUGUUUGUGUUUUUAAUGGCUUGAAUGAUGUUGUUUCCUUUGGUCGGUUGUAUGUUUCUUAUUAAUGAAUGAGUUUCAGUUUUAGUGUCAGUGAGUUUAUGUGUUAUUGAAUGAGCUUUAUGACUUCAGUUUUGUAAUCGGUUUAUCUUGUAAUGAUGUUGUUCUUGAA